rnacentral:rRNA from 2 species
UUCCGGUUGAUCCCGCCGGACCUGACUGCUAUCGGAUUGAUACUAAGCCAUGCGAGUCAUUGUAGCAAUACAAGGCAUACGGCUCAGUAACGCGUAGUCAACCUACCCUAUGGACGAGAAAUAACCUCGRGAAACUGAGAAUAAUAUCCGAUAGAACAUUAUGCCUGGAAUGGUUUAUGUUCCAAAUGAUUUAUCGCCGUAGGAUGGGACUGCGGCCUAUCAGUUUGUUGGUGAGGUAAUGGCCCACCAAGACUAUUACAGGUACGGGCUCUGAGAGGAGUAGCCCGGAGAUGGGUACUGAGACACGGACCCAGGCCCUAUGGGGCGCAGCAGGCGAGAAAACUUUGCAAUGUGCGAAAGCACGACAAGGUUAAUCCGAGUGAUUUCUGCUAAAGAAAUCUUUUGUUAGUCCUAGAAACACUAACGAAUAAGGGGUGGGCAAGUUCUGGUGUCAGCCGCCGCGGUAAAACCAGCACCUCAAGUGGUCAGGAUGAUUAUUGGGCCUAAAGCAUCCGUAGCCGGCUCUGUAAGUCCUCGGUUAAAUCUGUACGCUUAACGUACAGGCUGCCGGGAAUACUGCAUAGCUAGGGAGUGGGAGAGGUAGACGGUACUCGGUAGGAAGGGGUAAAAUCCUUUGAUCUAUUGAUGACCACCUGUGGCGAAGGCGGUCUACCAGAACACGUCCGACGGUGAGGGAUGAAAGCUGGGGGAGCAAACCGGAUUAGAUACCCGGGUAGUCCCAGCUGUAAACUAUGCAAACUCAGUGAUGCAUUGGCUUGUGGCCAAUGCAGUGCUGCAGGGAAGCCGUUAAGUUUGCCGCCUGGGAAGUACGUACGCAAGUAUGAAACUUAAAGGAAUUGGCGGGGGAGCACCACAAGKGGUGAAGCCUGCGGUUCAAUUGGAGUCAACGCCGG